GAUGAACGCUGGCGGCGUGCCUAAUACAUGCAAGUCGAGCGAACAGACCAGGAGCUUGCUCCUCUGACGUUAGCGGCGGACGGGUGAGUAACACGUGGAUAACCUACUUAUAAGACUGGGAUAACUUCGGGAAACCGGCGCUAAUACCGGAUAAUCUAUUGAACCGCAUGGUUCAAUAGUGAAAGACGGCUUUGCUGUCACUUAUAGAGGGAUCCGCGCUGCAUUAGCUAGUUGGUAAGGUAACGGCUUACCAAGGCAACGAUGCGUAACCGACCUGAGAGGGUGAUCGGCCACACGGGAACUGAGACACGGUCCAUACUCCUACGGGAGGCAGCAGUAGGGAAUCUUACGCAAUGGGCGAAAGCCCGACGGAGCAACGCGGCGUGAGUGAUGAAGGGUUUCGGAUCGGAAAACUCUCUUAUUAGGGAAGAACAAAUGUGUAAGUAGCUAUACACGUCUUGACGGUACCUAGUCAGGAAGCAACGGCUAACUACGUG
rnacentral:rRNA from 1 species